CUGUAUCUCAGUUCCCAGCCUGGCUGCCUGAGAAGCCAGCACAGUGCUCCUGCUGCUCCUGUUGCUCCAUGAGCAAAGCCAAACUGGUCCCUUAUCUCCACCGAGGACGCUGGGUUUAACCAGCAUCAGCACAGUUGCCCUGGCCAGCUUCCUGAUGAGAGAAGUCACUCUGAAGGAAAUGCGAUAUUGAGACUUCCUGAGGAGUAUGUUCACAACCACACUCUCACCAAUUGCGAUGGUCUCUCAAAACCUCUCUGCAUCCAGAGAUAAAGCUGAGGAAAACCACAUUUAGUCUUAAAUUUAAAUGAAUCUAUUAAAGGAAUUUUAAAAGUAAAAACUGAACUUGACAAUUUAAAAUUUCAGAACCUGUUUCUAGCCUUUUUCUGGAAAGGCUUUAAUUCAUGGCUGGAUGUGAAGACCCAGAAAAUAAGUUGUAGAUAAUUGAAGGGUGUGGGAUAGAGUGUUAUUACCCAAGAGGAAGGCUUCAUGGUCUAGUUUGAGAAUGAGUCAGUCCAACCAAAGCCAAGCAAACUGCACAAACUCCACCUUAGUGACUAAGACUUCUCUGUAAAUUCUGCUACUGUUAAGUUUUCCAUUGUAAUUACAUUUUCUCUUCAAAUAAACAAUACGAUGAUCAUCUAAAAUAAA